ensembl:lncRNA
CACACUCUCAAGUGGCCAAGACCGCAAGUGUGGGUAUUUGGACAGGGUCAAAGUCUUAAAAAUGCCCCAUUAGUAAGAACCCUAAACACAGUCUCACAUCAAAGUCUUAAUAAGUAGGUAAUUCAAUUUAACACUUGUAUGAUAUUGUAUAAGCCCCUGGACAGUCUCAUCUGACACUAUCACAAUAUUGCUAAAUCAGUUGCGCUCUUCUUGGAAAGCAGUCAGAUGCCCCACACAGUCAGAAAGUUUUUUAUUGUCCAUUGGCUUCUUAAUAAAUUACUUCAAAUAGGCCACAUCAGUUCAUGUUCCAACUAUACAUGAUAUCUCUCUGCACCUCGUAAUUUAUCUGUUUUCCACUAUUUGCCUCUGUAACUUUUUCUUAAUUCUUGCAUAAUGAAAUUUUUAUUGCAGUAUUUUAAUAAUUUUACUUUGUACAGAUGAUCUCAUCAGCCAAGUGAGGGGUUUUGACAAAGUGAUGCUCUUGAAAGGAAUGAAAGAAGAGGAUGUGGUAAAUUGUCUUCAAAGAAAAAGCUUCUCAAAAGGUCUUAAAACAGCUUGAAGAAUGGUCUGGGAACUGUCUGAAAAUGGGAUGUUAGGACUGAGAGAUCCUCUUUCUGAGAAAAAGCUACACCACAUCGGUGCUGGAUGUCAACCACAAACUGUUCACAGACACGAGAGAAGAAGAUCACGAUGGGGAAGAGCAAGAAACCAGUUUAGAUGUGAUGAUAAGGAAUCAUUAUUUUCUGAAACAGUAUCAAAUGUCUUAUAUGUAUCACAUGAUCUGUAUCACAGUGGACUGGAUGGUAUUGUGUGAUUUUUAAGGACAUUUCAUCACUCAUUUGUGUGAACUGAUUAAUAUAUGAUGUUAAUGAAUUUUUGAUGAUCCAUUAUUAUUUUCCUUGAAUCUUAUUUGCCUUGAUGCUACUUUAUCAACUUUAUAGUCUAUG